UGGCGGUGCCGUCUGGCUCUCAGCGUAGUAACUUUUCUCGCUGUUUGGGCCCUGCGGUGGCGUGCCAACAACCCUCUAUUUUAUUCAGGUUGACCUCGGAUCAGGUAGGGAUACCCGCUGAACUUAAGCAUAUCAAUAAGCGGAGGAA
rnacentral:rRNA from 1 species